rnacentral:rRNA from 1 species
GUAGGUGGCAAGCAUUGUCCGGAAUUAUUGGGCGUAAAGCGCGCGCAGGCGGUUCUUUAAGUCUGAUGUGAAAGCCCACGGCUCAACCGUGGAGGGUCAUUGGAAACUGGAGAACUUGAGUACAGAAGAGGAAAGCGGAAUUCCACGUGUAGCGGUGAAACGCGUAGAGAUGUGGAGGAACACCAGUGGCGAAGGCGGCUUUCUGGUCUGUAACUGACGCUGAGGCGCGAAAGCGUGGGGAGCAAACAGGGAUUAGAUACCCUGGUAGUCCACGCCGUAAACGAUGAGUGCUAAGUGUUAGGGGGUUUCCGCCCCCUUAGUGCUGCAGCUAACGCAUUAAGCACUCCGCCUGGGGAUACGGCCGCAAGGCUG